GGAGCUGGAAAGGUGGAGGCGGAAGUGACUGAUCAAUUCAGGGGCGUGGGGUUCGUUUAGGUUUUGCCCUGUGUAUGACCUCGUUUGGAGCCAUGAAACCAGGUGGCUUUUCUACAAUAUAAAGAUGGAAAUGGGAAGAAGAUGUUCAUUGCAAAUUAAGGAAGCUCUUCCACGAGUUCACGAAUGGAAAUAACAUCAAGAGUUUUUCAUCUUCUUAGUGUGCAAGAUAAAUAUCAAGGAGUGCAAUUCCUGGAUUUAUGAUGUCUGAGGAAUAGUCUUAGUGGAUUAUCCCAAACUUGACACAUUUUUUGCAAAAUGCUAUACAAAAAGAAGAUACAUGCGAUUAUGACAAGAUUCUCCACUUGGUGUGACCAGUCUCAUACAACCCAAGGCUGUGUGUCCAAAGGCAACUGUACUGUGAGUUUCACGUUUCCAAAGUUUUAGAUGACAUGUACAAUCUGAUUAGCCUUUAAAUCUCAUACCCUCUGCAGGUAUUGGAAAAUACAAGGAUGUCAUAAAUAUCUAUAUUUAUAUUUAAAAUGUGCUUAUAUUUAUAUAAAUAUAUAAAUAAAAAUAUGCAAAUAGUUGUCUAUGAAGCUAGCAAUGUGAUUAUAUGCUUUUCUUUUUCCUAGGUAGUCUGGGACUGGAAACAAAUUGGGAACAUUUUUCAUUGCAUAUUUGGCUCAGAUCUGCCACUUAGUUGAAGUAUAAUCUUCAGCAAGUGACUCAAAAUUUCUGAAUCUCGUUUUCACCAUCAAUACAUGACAAUAGUAAUAUUUUCUCCUUUAAGUAUUUGAAAGUGUUGAGAAAGCCACAAUAGCAACACUUGCAAAAGUGCUCCAUUGUAAAAUGCAAAGGAGAGGUAGUUGUGACCCUUUGGGGAAAACUAUAGUUGCCACAAUUGUCUCUGAAAUGAAGCAUGUUUCUUAGACUGAAGGAAAGCCCUGGGAGAGAUUGGUCUAGCUUUAGGAUGACUGUGGGUAGAGCUUCUAGGGAGAAGAAUGAAACGUAUUCCUCUUUUCCUUUUCUCUAGGAAUACCGGAAAGCAUGUAUUUGUUUGCUAAAUUGCUCUCUUUCCACCAGUGAUAUCAAUUCUGAAAUACUUUUGAGUAAGUUUGGAAUUACUAGAAAAACAGUGAAUGUAAAUGUGAAGGUGUAUGAUUCUUGGAAAGUUCAGAGGGAGUACAUUGACGGGUGUUUGGAUCAAAUUCCACUAACUUGAAUGAAUUACCUUGGAAAAUUAUCUCUACAAAUUCUUACUUACAUUUCUGACUGUCAGGUUAAAGUGAAUAAUUAUUUUCUGUAUACCAAGAUAUGAUUUUGAAGCAUCUAUGUUUUGCCCUAUUCUUUUGAGAGGGAAACUAGCUCUGUUUCAUGUGCUGGUUUUCCAUGUCUGAUACUUGAUGUUUCUGUUUCUGUGAUGUAAUUUAUGCAAGAUAGAUAAGAUAGAUGUUGAAAAGGGAAGAAAUAAUGAAGCUGUGGGGGAAAUCAGACAUUUAUUAGAACAUUUCCAGUUUUUU
rnacentral:lncRNA from 1 species